GUCUACGGCCAUAUCACCCUGAAUGUACCCAAUCUUGUUUGACCUUGGAAGCUAGGCAGGGUCAGGCCUGGUUAGUACUUAGAUAGGAGAAUUCAACAGGUGCAGCUUUACC
rfam:Fukomys damarensis contig127600, whole genome shotgun sequence.